rnacentral:rRNA from 1 species
CUGGGCUUGACAUGCGGAUGCACCAGGGGUAACGCCCUGUCCGCUUCGGCGGCGUCCGCACAGGUGCUGCAUGGCUGUCGUCAGCUCGUGCCGUGAGGUGUUGGGUUAAGUCCCCUAACGAGCGCAACCCUCGGGGUCCGUUGAAGAUGUUUCGGGCCCGACUGCCGCGCGCAACGCGGAGGAAGGUGGGGAUGACGUCAAGUCAGCACGGCCCUGACGUCCAGGGCGACACACACACUACAAUGGCCGGGACAACGGGUCGCGCUUGCCCGCGAGGGUUGGCCAAUCCCUAAAACCCGGUCUCAGUUCGGAUGGCAGGCUGCAACUCGCCUGCUUGAAGCUGGAGUUGCUAGUAACCGCGGGUCAGCAUACCGCGGUGAAUACGUUCCC